GGAUAUAAAGGACUAAAAUUUUCAUCAUUGUGUGAGGAAGUACCAUGCCCAAAAGGAUUGACUUGUUCUGGAGCUAAAGAAGACUAUGCUGAUACUGAUUGUACAGUUUCUCAGUUUGCCUCUUUCUAUGGCAAAAAGUCUAAGAGAAGGGAUUGUUCUGUUGUUACAAAAGUAAAGAAUGCGGGUUCUAAAGAUACAAUUUCUGGGUUAGUGUUAUUUUUUUCUUUCUCCAAUACUUUGUAAGUAUUGUUCAGAAUUUUGCUCAUUUCUGUUUAAUCAUUUUGCUUUGUAGUUUUUUAUUUUUCUUUCUUUUUUUGCAAUAUAAAUGUGAAGAAGCAUUUAUCAAUGCCAGAGCCAAGAAUAUGUGCAGUAAUUUUUUAAAUAUUAUUUUUUUUUAAAUAUUCCAUUUAAUGCUUUUGUUAGUUCUACAUCUGCAAUUAAUUGUAGAUGUAGAAGACUUUCUAUACAUACAUGUAGUUUAUAUAUGUGUAUGCUUAUAUAU